rnacentral:rRNA from 1 species
CUACGGGGGGCUGCAGUGAGGAAUUUUGCGCAAUGGGGGAAACCCUGACGCAGCAACGCCGCGUGAGCGAAGAAGGCCUUCGGGUCGUAAAGCUCUGUCAAGUGGGAAAAAAAUCUUUUGAUCAAUAGUCAAAAGACUUGAUGGUACCACUGGAGGAAGCACCGGCUAACUCCGUGCCAGCAGCCGCGGUAAUAGGGAGGGUGCAAGCGUUGUUCGGAUUUACUGGGCGUAAAGAGCGUGUAGGCGGUUUAGCAAGUCAGAUGUGAAAGCCCUGGGCUCAACCCGGGAAGUGCAUUUGAAACUGCUUCACUAGAGUAUGGGAGAGGAGAUUGGAAUUCCUGGUGUAGAGGUGAAAUUCGUAGAUAUCAGGAGGAACACCCGUGGCGAAGGCGAUUCUCUGGACCAAUACUGACGCUGAGACGCGAAAGCGUGGGGAGCAAACAGGAUUAGAUACCCUCGUAGUC